AUGUUUGAAACGCCGGUUUCCGUACGAUCACCGAAGUUAAGCAACAUCGAGCCUGGUCAGUACCUAGAUAUGUAACUAUUUGGGAAUACCUGGUGAUGUAAG